rnacentral:misc_RNA from 1 species
UAUGAUAAUUUUUAAAAAUAAAAGUAUUGCGAAUAUUGUAUAAUUUUCUUUGCUUAUAAUUUGAACUGAAGAGUUGCAAGGAAGAGUAAAAUGUUGUAUAAAUUAGAAAAAUUUGUUUAGGGGAUUUACAAGAAGUUGAAUUAAGAAAACAUGACAAAAGGGAAUUAAUUACUGAAAAAUGGAAUUGAGGAGAUCUAUCUAGCUGCUCGAGUUAGUACUCAAUAUAUUUUUAUCAGUUCGAAAUACGAAUGUUAAUUUUAUUACCGCAUCGUUUUAUUCAUAUUAAAGAUUGUUAAAAUGAAAAUGCCCAUCAGAGAAGGGAUAGAAACUUUGGCAACGAACCAAUUUUCUAACAGAGUAAAACAAAAAAGAAAGAGAGGAAAAAAGAGAAAGAAGCAUAGCGGCACGAUCGAAGGAGGAAGACGGUCGGCGACCUCCUGAAUUGCGACAUAAGGAGCGAAGCUGUUCACACACUGACCCCCAUUUCCUUCCCGCCGGCGCGGCGAAUAGCAUAGCACCAGUUUUGAUUUUGCCUACUACUCGAUCCCGUAUUUCGCUCUUUUUCUUCAUUCGGAUUUCAAGGAAAACUUGUUUUUUCUUUCAAUCAUGGAAAACAUCUGUUCCCUUUUAGAGAAAACUGUGACUUGCUUCUUCCAUUUGGAUCUUUUACGCAAUUUUUUUUACCUAUUCCAAGUAUUUGAUACGCUUCGUAUUUCAUAAU